GUCUACAGCCAUGCCACCCUGAAUAAGCCUGAUGUCUGAUCUCGGAAGCUAAGCAGGGUUGGCCCUGGUUAGUACUUGGGUGGGAGACCACCUAGGAAGACCAGGUGCUAUAGGCA
rnacentral:rRNA from 1 species